rnacentral:lncRNA from 1 species
AUGUGUUUGAAAAAACUGAAAAUCAUAGAAACAUCAGGGCAGAUUAAGAAAGACAGACUGGGGGGACGCCUGGGUGGCUCAGUUGGUCGGGCAGCUGCCUUCGGCUCAGGUCAUGAUCCCAGGGUUCUGGGAUCAAGCCCCACAUUGGGCUCCCUGCUCAGCAGGAAGCCUGUUUCUCCCUCUCCCACCCACCCCUGCUUGUGUUCCUUUUUUCGCUGUGUCUCUCUCUGUCAAAUAAAAUCUUUAAAAAAAGAAAAUCUUUUUAAAAAAGAAUCCCAUGUUUUCCAGAUGCAAAAUAGCAUUUUAAUGAUAGAGUGCCUAAUUCCUGUCUGCUAAAUUGAGAAUUUUUCAUGAUAUGAGAGGGAACUUAAAACAAAAAGUGGCUUUGUUUAGAAUAUGCCCACACUUUUCCCAGAGAAUAAAAGAUGGAGAAACUGCUAGCAAAAAAGCCAGAACACUGAGGGAAUUAGUUCAGGCUUAUCCAGUUUUCUUCAGGGAUAUAGUCUCAGCAUGUUUUGAGUCUUUAAGUCAUGAGAACGCUAUCCUUUCCCCACAAGAAUAUUUCUAGUCAUUUGGAUAACUAACCCAAAACCCUAUAACCCAAACUUAUUCUACAUUUUUAGGCCCAUUCUGGAGGGCUAGGGCUGGAUAGGGUGAGUCAGUCCGGUUCCAAACAUCAUCCUGCCUUUAUGGUUUGGGUAUUUAUAUUAAAGGGUUUCAGGAACAGAAAACAAAGAACUGGUCUUGGAACUCCAGAUUAAGUACAUAGAAUAUAGGUUGAAUCUCUGAAACCAGCUAGGUAGAAUCCAUUGCAUUUCUGUACCACCAGAGCAUGGCAGACAAAAGAAUAUCUCUCUUAAUCAUUCACUGAAUGUCAUCAGAGCAGGUCCCCAGUUGCUUUGAAAUUCAUCAGUGAAUUUGCACCCAGGUCAUGUCUUCCAAGGGCUGGUUCC